CAAGUCGAACGGCAGCACGGAGAGCUUGCUCUCUGGUGGCGAGUGGCGAACGGGUGAGUAAUAUAUCGGAACGUAUCCAAUAAUGGGGGAUGACGAGUCGAAAGAUUCGCUAAUACCGCAUACGCCCUACGGGGGAAAGCAGGGGAUCGUAAGACCUUGCGUUAAUGGAGCGGCCGAUAUCUGAUUAGCUUGUUGGUGAGGUAAAGGCUCACCAAGGCAACGAUCAGUAGCUGGUUUGAGAGAACGACCAGCCACACUGGAACUGAGACACGGUCCAGACUCCUACGGGAGGCAGCAGUGGGGAAUUUUGGACAAUGGGGGCAACCCUGAUCCAGCCAUUCCGCGUGAGUGAAGAAGGCCUUCGGGUUGUAAAGCUCUUUCGCAAGGGAAGAAAACUUAUGAUCGAAUAAAUCAUGAGGUUGACGGUACCUUGAUAAGAAGCACCGGCUAACUACGUGCCAGCAGCCGCGGUAAUACGUAGGGUGCGAGCGUUAAUCGGAAUUACUGGGCGUAAAGCGUGCGCAGGCGGUUUUGUAAGUCGGAUGUGAAAUCCCCGGGCUCAACCUGGGAACUGCGUUCGAAACUGCAAGGCUAGAGUGUGUCAGAGGGGGGUAGAAUUCCACGUGUAGCAGUGAAAUGCGUAGAGAUGUGGAGGAAUACCAAUGGCGAAGGCAGCCCCCUGGGAUAACACUGACGCUCAUGCACGAAAGCGUGGGGAGCAAACAGGAUUAGAUACCCUGGUAGUCCACGCCCUAAACGAUGUCAACUAGUUGUUGGUAGAGUAAAAUCUAUGAGUAACGUAGCUAACGCGUGAAGUUGACCGCCUGGGGAGUACGGUCGCAAGAUUAAAACUCAAAGGAAUUGACGG
rnacentral:rRNA from 1 species